rnacentral:rRNA from 1 species
CACGUAGGCGGACUGUUAAGUCGGAUGUGAAAUCCCUCAGCUUAACUGAGGAAGUGCACUCGAAACUGGCAGUCUUGAGUAUGGAAGAGGGUCGCGGAAUUCCCGGUGUAGAGGUGAAAUUCGUAGAUAUCGGGAGGAACACCAGUGGCGAAGGCGGCGACCUGGGCCAAUACUGACGCUGAGGUGCGAAAGCGUGGGGAGCAAACA